UUAUUACUCCAUCCGUUCGGAAUUACUUGUCUCAGAAAUGGAUGUAUCUAGACGUUCUAGAUACAUCCAUUUCCGAGACAAGUAAUUCCGAAUGGAGGGAGUAGAUG
rnacentral:pre_miRNA from 1 species